GACGAACGCUGGCGGCGUGCUUAACACAUGCAAGUCGAACGGAAAGGCCCUGCUUGCAGGGUACUCGAGUGGCGAACGGGUGAGUAACACGAGGGUGAUCUGCCCUGCACUUCGGGAUAAGCUUGGGAAACUGGGUCUAAUACCGGAUAGGAGCCAUCUUUAGUGUGGUGGUUGGAAAGUUUUUUCGGUGUAGGAUGAGCUCGCGGCCUAUCAGCUUGUUGGUGGGGUAAUGGCCUACCAAGGCGGCGACGGGUAGCCGGCCUGAGAGGGUGUACGGCCACAUUGGGACUGAGAUACGGCCCAGACUCCUACGGGAGGCAGCAGUGGGGAAUAUUGCACAAUGGGCGCAAGCCUGAUACAGCGACGCCGCGUGGGGGAUGAAGGCCUUCGGGUUGUAAACUCCUUUCGCUAGGGACGAAGCUUUGUUGUGACGGUACCUAGAUAAGAAGCACCGGCUAACUACGUG
rnacentral:rRNA from 1 species